GCGGUGGAGCAUGUGGUUUAAUUCGAAGCAACGCGAAGAACCUUACCAGGCCUUGACAUGCAGAGAACUUUCCAGAGAUGGAUUGGUGCCUUCGGGAACUCUGACACAGGUGCUGCAUGGCUGUCGUCAGCUCGUGUCGUGAGAUGUUGGGUUAAGUCCCGCAACGAGCGCAACCCUUGCCUUUAGUUGCCAGCAGUUCGGCUGGGCACUCUAAAGGGACUGCCGGUGUUAAACCGGAGGAAGGUGGGGAUGACGUCAAGUCCUCAUGGCCUUUAUGACCAGGGCUACACACGUACUACAAUGGCCGAUACAAAGGGCAGCGACACUGCGAGGUGAAGCCAAUCCCGUAAAAUCGGUCUCAGUCCGGAUUGGAGUCUGCAACUCGACUCCAUGAAGUUGGAAUCGCUAGUAAUCGUGGAUCAGCAUGCCACGGUGAAUACGUUCCCGGGCCUU
rnacentral:rRNA from 1 species